rnacentral:rRNA from 1 species
AUUGAACGCUGGCGGCAGGCCUAACACAUGCAAGUCGAAUGGUAACAGGAAACAGCUUGCUGUUUCGCUGACGAGUGGCGGACGGGUGAGUACUGUCUGGGAAACUGCCUGAUGGAGGGGGAUAACUACUGGAAACGGUAGCUAAUACCGCAUAACGUCGCAAGACCAAAGAGGGGGACCUUCGGGCCUCUUGCCAUCAGAUGUGCCCAGAUGGGAUUAGCUAGUAGGUGGGGUAACGGCUCACCUAGUCGACGAUCCCUAGCUGGUCUGAGAGGAUGACCAGCCACACUGGAACUGAGACACGGUCCAGACUCCUACGGGAGGCAGCAGUGGGGAAUAUUGCACAAUGGGCGCAAGCCUGAUGCAGCCAUGCCGCGUGUAUGAAGAAGGCCUUCGGGUUGUAAAGUACUUUCAGCGGGGAGGAAGGGAGUAAAGUUAAUACCUUUGCUCAUUGACGGUACCCGCAGAAGAAGCACCGGCUAACUCCGUG